GACGAACGCUGGCGGCGUGCUUAACACAUGCAAGUCGAGCGAACGGACGAGCUGUUUGUUUCUCUGAUGUUAGCCGCGGACGGGUGAGUAACACGUGGCUCACCUACCUAUUAGACUCGGCUAACUUCGGGAACCCGGAGCUAAUACCGAAUUCCCUUUUGAACCGCAUGGUUCAACAGUGAAAGACGGUCUUGCUGUUACUUCUAGAUGGUUCCGCGCUGCCUUAGCUAGUUGGUAAGGUAACGGCUUACCAACGCAACGAUGCAUAGCCGACCUGAGAGUGUGAGCGGGCACACUGGAACUGAGACACGGUCCAGACUCCGACGGGAGGCAGCAGUAGGGAAGCGUCCGCAAUGGGCGAAAGCCUGACGGAGCAACGCCGCGUGAGUGAUGAAGGUCAUCGGAUCGUAAAACUCUGUUAUUAGGGAAGAACAUAUGUGUAAGUGACUGUGCACAUCGUGACGGUACCUGAAGAGAAAGCCACGGCUAACUACGUG
rnacentral:rRNA from 1 species